rnacentral:rRNA from 1 species
GACGAACGCGGCGGCGUGCUUAACACAUGCAAGUCGAACGAAAAGAGGGAAAGAGCUUGCUCUUUCCGGAAUUGAGUGGCAAACGGGUGAGUAACACGUAAACAACCUGCCUUCAGGAUGGGGACAACAGACGGAAACGACUGCUAAUACCGAAUAAGUUCCAAGAGCCGCAUGGCCCAUGGAAGAAAAGGUGGCCUCUACCUGUAAGCUAUCGCCUGAAGAGGGGUUUGCGUCUGAUUAGCUGGUUGGAGGGGUAACGGCCCACCAAGGCGACGAUCAGUAGCCGGUCUGAGAGGAUGAACGGCCACACUGGAACUGAGACACGGUCCAGACUCCUACGGGAGGCAGCAGUGGGGAAUCUUCCGCAAUGGGCGAAAGCCUGACGGAGCAACGCCGCGUGAGUGAUGACGGCCUUCGGGUUGUAAAACUCUGUGAUCCGGGACGAAAAGGCAGAGUGCGAAGAACAAACUGCAUUGACGGUACCGGAAAAGCAAGCCACG